rnacentral:rRNA from 1 species
UACGGAAGGCAGCAGUGGGGAAUAUUGCACAAUGGGCGAAAGCCUGAUGCAGCUAUGCCGCGUGUAUGAAGAAGGCCUUAGGGUUGUAAAGUACUUUUCAUCGGGGAGGAAAAAACAAAACUAAUAAUUUUAUUUCUUGACGUUACCCGAAAAAGAAGCACCGGCUAACUCCGUGCCAGCAGCCGCGGUAAUACGGAGGGUGCUAGCGUUAAUCAGAAUUACUGGGCGUAAAGAGCACGUAGGUGGUUUUUUUAAAGUCAGAUGUGAAAUCCCUGGGCUUAACCUGGAACUGCAUUUUGAAACUGAAAUACUAGAGUAUCGUAGAGGGAGGUAGAAUUCUAGGUGUAGCGGUGAAAUGCGUAGAUAUCUGGAGGAAUACCUGUGGCGAAAGCGGCCUCCUAAACGAAUACUGACACUGAGGUGCGAAAGCGUGGGGAGCAAACAGGGAUUAGAUACC